UGAUCAGACUGGCCAACAUGGUGAAACCCCAUCUGCACUAAAAAUACAAAAAUUAGCCAGGUGUGCCGGCACGUGCCUAUAAUCCCAGCUACUCAGGAGGCUGAGGCAGGAGAAUCACUUGAAUCCGGGAGGCAGAGGUUAGGGGCAGUGAGCUGAGAUCACGCCACUGCACUCCAGCCUGGGCAACAGAGCAACACUAUCUGAAGAAAAA
rnacentral:lncRNA from 10 species